UACGGAGGGGGCUAGCGUUGUCCGAAGUUACUGGGCGUAAAGCGCGCGUAGGCGGGUUGGUAAGUCCGCUGUGAAAGCCCGGAGCUCAACUCCGGAGGGUCGGUGGAUACUGCCAGUCUUGAAGGUGCUAGGGGGAGAUGGAAUUACCGGUGUAGCGGUGAAAUGCGCAGAUAUCAGGAGGAACACCAAUUGCGAAGGCAGCUCGCUGGGACGUUACUGACGCUGAUGCGCGAAAGCGUGGGGAGCAAACAGG
rnacentral:rRNA from 1 species